AGACCAUGAGGAUUUAGAAAAGAGCAGGAGAGUUGAAGAAAGAGAACAAGAAAAAGAAGAAAAAAACCCAAGUAGAGAAGAAUUGGAAGAAAGAAGAGGAAAAAGCCUUCUAAUGAAACUGUUGCGGCUGCCAGGAACGGGGUGUUUCCAGCAGUGUUUACACCAGAACUACUGGGAGAGAACAAGACUGUCCUGCUGGCUAGCUGAAGCCUGCAAGAAUGGAUUGGGCUUGCUUCCACCAAGAGAAGAUUGGCUGAAAAGAGGCCAGGACACGGCGGCACGGAGGGCCGGCCCAGUGGGUUAACGCCCAGGCCUGAAGCACACCCUGGCCUGAAGCACCAGCAUCCCAUAUGGACGCUGGUUCGAGACCCGGCUGCUCUCCACUUCCAAUCCAGCUCUCUGAUGUGGCCUGGGAAAGCAGUGGAGGAUGGCCCAAGUCCUUGGGCCCCUGCACCCACGUGGGAGACCUGGAAGAAGCUCCUGGCUUCGCAUCAGCAUAGCUCUGGCUGUUGCGGCCAAUUGGGGAGUGAACCAUCGGAUGGAAGACCUCUCUCUCUCUCUCUCUCUCUCUGCCUCUCCUUUCUCUGUGUAACUCUGACUUUCAAAUAAAUAAAUAAAUAGUUAAAUUCCUCUAUUUGCUCAGCUGCCUUUGGGUCAUUCACAACCAUGCAGUACAGUACAGGACCCCCAAAUAGCUAUGUGUUCUGUGCAGCUCUCCAAGUCCACAAUGACCAUUAGCCUAAAUGGGUAGCAAAAUCCCUCAAAUCCACAGACUCCACAGUUAAUACUCGAAAUCUGUAGGACCGCCAGUCUCCUAUUCAUCAGCUGGUCAUCAGCUACAUAGUUAGUAACUAAGUAAGCAGCUCAGGACCCACAGUCAGAACCCAAGAUGAUGGCAAAGCAAAUGAACACAGAGAUCU